rnacentral:lncRNA from 1 species
UUUCUGGUUUCGCACCAUGGAGCAACCACCUUGUUCCACCACCUUGAAACCCCCAUUGGAUGUGUUUUAUUUAUUUUUUCUUGUCUGAUUGCUCUUGCUUGUAUUUCCAACACUAUGUUGAAGAAAACUGGUGAAUGUGGAUAUCCCUGCCUUGUAUCUGAUUCAGAGGAGAAGCUUUCAGUUUUUGUCAUUGAUUAUGAUGUUACUUGUGGGUUUUUCAAAAGUUGCCAGUGGAGGCAGAAGUGGUGUCUCCAGCUACUGCUACUUUUAAAAUCUAGGAUUGGACGGGUUAUGAUAGAACUGGAAGGCGCUAUAUCUGUGAAACUAUUGAUCCUGAAUUUAGCUGAAAUUACUGGAAUAAACUUCUACUUUAGAGGCAAAAUGCUGCUGCUAGUUGGAAAAGGCUGACAAAAGGAACAGUAUAUGAGAAGGAAAAAAAUCUCUUCUUCCUUCCAGCUGUCAAUAAUUUGGUGACAAAAACAUAGGAAACAUAAUCUUCAGUAUCUUUGUCUCAUGAUCUAUAGAGUAUAGAAGGAUGAAUUUGGAAUCUGCUUUGCUCUCUUUUCUAGUGCUUGUACUAAUUUUAUGUAUUUUAUAUAUUAUUUUUUUUCCUUGUGAUUCCUUGGGAUCCUAGCUAAUUUGUAUUUUUUACCAAUCAAAAGUGAACAAUAUUUUCUUUUUUUGGAGAGUAGAAGAAAUGGAGUGUGCAACAUUUGGUAAAAAAAUAUUUCCUGUACUCUUUUUCUUUCUUAAGUAAUUUUAAUCACAACUGGGAUGGGAAAAGAGGGCUUGCAU